ACACAUCAAAGCACUCUCUUGCUGACAUCAGGGCUUUCCUGUUGCAGUCGGGUGUGCACGUCUCCAACACCACUAUAAGACGACACUAUAGACGUCAAAGACCUGUAGGCCUUCCUAGAAAAACAACUGCAAGGAAAAUGAACAGUGCUGCACUUAAAACGAUUGACGAAAAACUUAACAAGGACAAUGAGCGAUCUGCUAAAAAGAUUCAGAGCGAGCUUCUGUUUAGAAUACAGUUAAAAGCAUCAGUCUGCACUAUUAGAAAACCAUUAAAACAACUCAGGUGGACCUAUGGAAAAGCCAGGGAUUGGACAGCUGUUUUUACAAAGACACUAUAGUAAAAUUUAAUCAGGUUCCAUAUGUAAAACAACACUUUAAAGAACCACAUCGCUUCUUCCAAGGUAGAUGCAGUAUGUAGGCCUACUGUACCAACUGUGUGUGUGUGUGUGUGUGUGUGUGUGUGUGUGUGUGUGUGUGCACACGUUCACUGCUGUGUGAAUGGGUUGAACUUUUUUAUCAAUCUUGAUGAUUAUAG
rnacentral:lncRNA from 1 species